UGCUUACACAGUGCAGUCGAACGGUCUUUUCGGAGAUAGUGGCGGACGGGUGAGUAACGCGUAAGAAUCUACCUUCAGGUUGGGGACAACCACUGGAAACGGUGGCUAAUACCCAAUGUGCCGAGAGGUGAAAGGCUUGCUGCCUGAAGAAGAGCUUGCGUCUGAUUAGCUAGUUGGUGGGGUAAGAGCCUACCAAGGCGACGAUCAGUAGCUGGUCUGAGAGGAUGAUCAGCCACACUGGGACUGAGACACGGCCCAGACUCCUACGGGAGGCAGCAGUGGGGAAUUUUCCGCAAUGGGCGAAAGCCUGACGGAGCAAUACCGCGUGAGGGAGGAAGGCUCUUGGGUUGUAAACCUCUUUUCUCAGGGAAGAACAAAAUGACGGUACCUGAGGAAUAAGCAUCGGCUAACUCCGUGCCAGCAGCCGCGGUAAUACGGAGGAUGCAAGCGUUAUCCGGAAUGAUUGGGCGUAAAGGGUCCGCAGGUGGCAUUGUAAGUCUGCUGUUAAAGAGUUUGGCUCAACCAAAUAAAAGCAGUGGAAACUACAAAGCUAGAGUGUGGUCGGGGCAGAGGGAAUUCCUGGUGUAGCGGUGAAAUGCGUAGAUAUCAGGAGGAACAUCGGUGGCGAAGGCGCUCUGCUAGGCCAAGGACUGACACUGAGGGACGAAAGCUAGGGGAGCGAAUGGGAUUA
rnacentral:rRNA from 1 species